CCAGCAAGUCAUUUCCCCAUACAAUAGAAACAUAAACUGCUAAACAGCUCCCACUUUAGUUAUUACCACAGUUGGGGCAUGAUCUCAGCUAGAGUGUGAGGAGUGGCUAAUGGACAGAACCCGGCAUUUGACUCAGUACUCUAGGAUAACUACCUAGGUGAGUCCUUCGCAGAAGAAAAUGCAGAAUUUGGACCCAUUUGCUAUGUGAUUAAGAACUCUGAUGGGAAGGAAGGAAAGGGAACCCUACGCCAUGACCCCAGACACCCUGGCCGAGUGUAUUCAAGGAAGGAGACAUUUCUCAGCAACCCAGAGUCUCUCACCAACCCUUGAAGAUCAAGAACACAUCAAGAGAUCAGUGCUGGCUACACUCCUCAGAGUGCAAACCCCAACUCCAGCCUAAGUCCACCCAAGUGGCAACACACUUGUGGAGGUCAGAAGACAACCUGUAAAGUGAUUUCUCUACUUCUAUCAUGUGGGACCUGAGGACAAAACUCAGAUCAUCCGACUUGGCACCAAGUACCUUUGUUCGCUUAGCCAUUUCACCAGCCCAAGACUUUCAACCUUCAGUCCUGUAUUGUGAGGGUAAAAUUAUGGUUUAAGUUUAAAUUACUGUGCUUAAGAGAUCUAUAAAACAAAAAUGCCUCUAACCUGUAAGCCCCACUUGCCCAGGGACAGAUAACUUCCUGGAUGUUGGGGGCUGCUGUUCAUGUAAGAUAACAAGCCACUUGUUCUCACUUCUACUAACAAGGAUGGUUGCCCCAACUGUACAGGAUUUGCUUGAUCACUCAUAGGCAGGAAGUACGUAGGCAGGAAGCAUGUCAGGGUAUAUGCUUGCCCCUGAUUGGAUGAAGGCAGGAAGUAUGUAGUCUUGUGAGUUUUGCCUUUAUAAGAACCUGACUAACAAAAUUCACAGCCAUUUUCUGGGAAUCUCUGGUCUGAACCUGGCCAGUGUCCAUCUUCCUGGCUGGUGUUUAAUAAAGCUUGCUUCAAAUUUGGCUCAAA